CCUACGUGAGGCAGCAGUGGGGAAUAUUGCACAAUGGGGGAGACCCUGAUGCAGCGACGCCGCGUGAAGGAAGAAUUAUUUAGGUAUGUAAACUCCUAUCAGCUCGGGAGAAAAUAACGGUACCUGACUAAUAAUCCCCGGCUAACUACGUGCCAGCAGCCGCGGGAAUAUGUAGGGGGCAAGCGUUAUCCGGAUUUACUGGGUGUAAGGGGAGCGUAGGCGGUUUAGCAAGUCAGAAGUGAAAGCCCGGGGCUCAACUCCGGGACUGCUUUUGAAACUGGUGAACUAGAUGGCAGGAGAGGUAAGUGGAAUACCUAGUGUAGCGGUGAAAUGCGUAGAUAUUAGGAGGAACACCAGUGGCGAAGGCGGCUUACUGGACUGUAAAUGACGCUGAGGCUCGAAAGCGUGGGUAGCAAACAGGAUUAGAUACCCUUGUAGUC
rnacentral:rRNA from 1 species